UACGGAGGGUGCAAGCGUUACUCGGAAUCACUGGGCGUAAAGGGUGCGUAGGCGGGUUGUCAAGUUCUGAGUGAAAUCCAACGGCUCAACCGUUGAACUGCUUGGAAAACUGGCAGCCUAGAGUGAGGGAGAGGCAGAUGGAAUUGGUGGUGUAGGGGUAAAAUCCGUAGAGAUCACCAGGAAUACCCAUUGCGAAGGCGAUCUGCUGGAACUCAACUGACGCUGAGGCACGAAAGCGGGGGGAG
rnacentral:rRNA from 1 species